rnacentral:lncRNA from 1 species
GAUCUCGGCGUUGGCGGCGACGGCGGCGUAGGACUUGGCGGGGUUCACCGGGGCGGUGACGGUGACCUCAUCCUCCGCAACGCUGCCGUCCGGCACGGUCUUCUCGGCGGCGACGGUGGCGUAGGACUUGGCGGGGUUCACGGCCGCGGUGACGGAGACCUCGUCCUCCUCGACGUUGCCGUUGGGGUAGGUCUUCUCGGCGGCGACGUCGGCGUAGGACUUGGCGCGGUUCUCGGCGGCGGUGACGGUGACCUCGUCCUCCGCGACGCUGCCGUUGGGGCUGGUCUUCUCAGCGACGACGGCGGCGUAGGACUUGGCGGGGUUCUCGGCGGCGGUGACGGUGACCUCGUCCUCCUCGACGCUGCCGUUGGGCAAGGUCUUCUCGGCGGCGACGGCGGCGUAGGACUUGGUGGGGUGCCCGUCGGUGGUGGCGGCAACGUCGUCGCCGGCGAAGCAUCCGAUGGGCGCGGUCUUCU